rnacentral:rRNA from 1 species
CAGGCUUAACACAUGCAAGUCGAGGGGCAUCAGGAAGAAAGCUUGCUUUCUUUGCUGGCGACCGGCGCACGGGUGAGUAACACGUAUCCAACCUGCCCUUUACUCGGGGAUAGCCUUUCGAAAGAAAGAUUAAUACCCGAUAGCAUAAUGAUUCCGCAUGGUUUCAUUAUUAAAGGAUUCCGGUAAAGGAUGGGGAUGCGUUCCAUUAGGUUGUUGGUGAGGUAACGGCCCACCAAGCCUUCGAUGGAUAGGGGUUCUGAGAGGAAGGUCCCCCACAUUGGAACUGAGACACGGUCCAAACUCCUACGGGAGGCAGCAGUGAGGAAUAUUGGUCAAUGGGCGCUAGCCUGAACCAGCCAAGUAGCGUGAAGGAUGAAGGCUCUAUGGGUCGUAAACUUCUUUUAUAUAAGAAUAAAGUGCAGUAUGUAUACUGUUUUGUAUGUAUUAUAUGAAUAAGGAUCGGCUAACUCCGUGCCAGCAGCCGCGGUAAUACGGAGGAUCCGAGCGUUAUCCGGAUUUAUUGGGUUUAAAGGGAGCGUAGGUGGACUGGUAAGUCAGUUGUGAAAGUUUGCGGCUCAACCGUAAAAUUGCAGUUGAUACUGUCAGUCUUGAGUACAGUAGAGGUGGGCGGAAUUCGUGGUGUAGCGGUGAAAUGCUUAGAUAUCACGAAGAACUCCGAUUGCGAAGGCAGCUCACUGGACUGCAACUGACACUGAUGCUCGAAAGUGUGGGUAUCAAACAGGAUUAGAUACCCUGGUAGUCCACACAGUAAACGAUGAAUACUCGCUGUUUGCGAUAUACAGUAAGCGGCCAAGCGAAAGCAUUAAGUAUUCCACCUGGGGAGUACGCCGGCAACGGUGAAACUCAAAGGAAUUGACGGGGGCCCGCACAAGCGGAGGAACAUGUGGUUUAAUUCGAUGAUACGCGAGGAACCUUACCCGGGCUUAAAUUGCAGUGGAAUGAUGUGGAAACAUGUCAGUGAGCAAUCACCGCUGUGAAGGUGCUGCAUGGUUGUCGUCAGCUCGUGCCGUGAGGUGUCGGCUUAAGUGCCAUAACGAGCGCAACCCUUAUCUUUAGUUACUAACAGGUUAUGCUGAGGACUCUGGAGAGACUGCCGUCGUAAGAUGUGAGGAAGGUGGGGAUGACGUCAAAUCAGCACGGCCCUUACGUCCGGGGCUACACACGUGUUACAAUGGGGGGUACAGAAGGCAGCUAGCGGGUGACCGUAUGCUAAUCCCAAAAGCCUCUCUCAGUUCGGAUCGAAGUCUGCAACCCGACUUCGUGAAGCUGGAUUCGCUAGUAAUCGCGCAUCAGCCACGGCGCGGUGAAUACGUUCCCGGGCCUUGUACACACCGCCCGUCAAGCCAUGGGAGCCGGGGGUACCUGAAGUACGUAACCGCAAGGAUCGUCCUAGGGUAAAACUGGUGACUGGGGCUAAGUC